GGAGAGGUACCCAAGAGGCCGAAGGGGGCGCUUUGCUAAAGCGUUAGGGUGUAACAGCCGCGGGGGUUCGAAUCCCCCUCUCUCCGCCA
rnacentral:tRNA from 1 species